rfam:Dietzia timorensis strain ID05-A0528, complete genome.
CGAGUCGGCCAGACGGCCGCGACUUUCGGAACCGCCGGCAGCUGCCGGCAGGCCGGAGUCGAGGAAAGUCCGGACUCCGAAGAGCAGGGCGGUUGCUAACGGCAACCCGGGGUGACCCGCGGGACAGUGCCACAGAAAAUAGACCGCCGCCGCCCCUCGUGGACGGCGGUGAGGGUGAAACGGUGCGGUAAGAGCGCACCAGCGCUGCGGGUGACCGCAGCGGCUCGGUAAACCCCGCCCGGAGCAAGAUCGAAGGCCGCACCAGACGGUGCGGCUGCGCGCAUGGUCGAGGGCUGCUCGCCCGAGUGCGCGGGUGGAUUGCUCGAGGUACCCGGCGACGGUGUGCCCAGAUGGAUGGUCGUCGCCUCGCGCGAGCGAGGGCCACAAAAUCCGGCUUAUCGGCCGACUCGUUCU